ACGAUAACGUUUGCUUUUAAAAUGAAGUAGGAACUUCAAAAAUGAAACGCCAAGGUUCAAGCAAAUCUGAGAAAUUCAUCUUUGACCGCCAGGACGCCUAUUAAAUAACAAUAUUUGUUGUAUCUUUGUACAGAGCUUGAACGGCAGUAUGAACUUUUUUAUUUACUUAAAAAGUUGAAUUCACGGCCCAUCUAGUACUAAGAUGCUAAAAGUGCCCAGAGAACUCAAAAUGGUAUGCCACCACACCUCAAACCAUGAAGUUAAAGUCUCAAAUAUUUCGUAUGACAACUGUCCCAUGCUUUAAAUUUGAACACAUAGUGACUUCGCGGAAGAAAUAGACGAUGCGAUUAUAUGUCUAUCACCACGGGUUCCUCAUACGACUUCUAACUGUUCCAUUUUGGGUUCACAAAUGAGAUCUCAAGACUGCUCCGCGGCAGAAAUAAGCAGGAUGGUGAUUGCUCUCCUUUGACUUACAAUACGCCCCGUCACCCCCAAUAUACAUAAAUAUAAAACUUAUAAAUGUUGCGCAUUUUCUUUUAUUACACAAUGUUAUUCCUUUAUCGUAUAAAUUCUAAGCAAAUAAUAAGCACCUUUUAUCUAUAAUCGCCUGUAAGGUUUUAACAUCGACAAAACAGAGAAACGAAUUUCUGAGGUCUAGUGGCAAAGACAAUAAAUACUAGUCGUCUUUGGCACAAAAAGUCAAGUUCACUUAUUCCUAAUUCUAAUCAAACAUACCAGCAUCACCAAAUUGGCAUAUAUGACUUUUACGGACCAUAAUACAAUAACAUAUGAUUUGGUACCAUAAAUUUAAAUCUGGAAUAAAAAAUAUAUAUCGAUUUAUGGCUAAUUACAUAGAUAUCUCCAAUCACGUAUGUAUUGUUGACAAGCCUUGUGUUAAUAUAAAACUAAAAUUAAAAUAUUUUAAGAAAUCAAGAUGGACAUUAAUGUAAUACUUUAUGAUGCUACAAAUUUUUUUUAUUGCUAAGAUGGGUGGACGAGCUCAUAGCUCACCUGGUGUUAAGUGGUUACCGAAGCCCAUAGAUAUCUACAACGUAGAUGCCGCCAACCACCUUGAGAUAUGAGUUCUAAAAACUCAGUAUAGUUACAACGGCUGCCCCACCCUUCAAACCCAAACGCAUUACUGCUUCACGGCAGAAAUAGACAGGGUGGUAGUAACUGCCCAUGGGGACUCACAAGAGUUCCUACCAGUUUGUCUGCGUAGUUUUUUUUUGUGAAGGAUUACAGGUGGCUCGAAGGCCUUUCCAGUUUCGGCAGGACAAGUGGGCCAGCAAAGGUACAGCCAGAAGGGGUAAGAUUAACAAACGGGGUGUAAGUACAUAUGUCUGUGCACAUAUCACACCGGGCACAUAUCACAGAUAUAGACCUCACUACCAGGUGCUUAAGUGGCCAAUUAUACGUAACUCAUUCACGAGCUAGUUAUCCCAGCAAUAUCAUUAUGUAAUAGUCAGUUAUUGUUACCACAUAUCUUUACGUGAUAUGCCUUCAGUGAUUAACUUCAUAUAUUUUUCUAUUUAUAUUUACUAUUUUACGAGCAUUUUUAAUUAAGAGAAUGAUAUUAUAAAUUCCCUUCUCUCUUGAUCCAGCUUGUCUGAAACCUUUGUUUCUCGCAUUAACAACAUAAAAAAAAAUUCGCUUAGGGUCAUUAAAUGUGAAAUGCUAAGACAUUUAAGGUAAGAAAAACUAAAUAAAUAUGGCACAUUUUCAAAUUUUAUUUACAUUAUAAGUUCAUUUGACUAUCGAUGUUAUUGAUAUUGAUAACGUAUGGUGCUCGAAAUAAAGUCCACUUUUCUUUGGCGGGGGUCGUUGUGCUCUGAAUCUUCUGGAUUUAUAACUUUUUCACGGUUUCGGUCUUAGGUGGGUGAGCGAGAAUGUAGUCAAUAGCGCGACGGAUGGCUUCAGGCAUUGGAGGAGCAACUGGAAGUAACUCACUCUGCGAGGAAAGAAAUCAAACAUUUAGUGUUGUAUUAGAUUUGAAUAUAACAAUUUAAAUUAAUUGCAUAGAAACAUAGAUUAUAGAUAAAUAAAGCUCAGUAUUCCAGCUUA